GACGAACGCUGGCGGCGUGCUUAACACAUGCAAGUCGAACGGAAAGGCCCUGCUUUUGUGGGGUGCUCGAGUGGCGAACGGGUGAGUAACACGUGAGUAACCUGCCCUUGACUUUGGGAUAACUUCAGGAAACUGGGGCUAAUACCGGAUAGGAGCUCCUGCUGCAUGGUGGGGGUUGGAAAGUUUCGGCGGUUGGGGAUGGACUCGCGGCUUAUCAGCUUGUUGGUGGGGUAGUGGCUUACCUAGGCUUUGACGGGUAGCCGGCCUGAGAGGGUGACCGGCCACAUUGGGACUGAGAUACGGCCCAGACUCCUACGGGAGGCAGCAGUGGGGAAUAUUGCACAAUGGGCGGAAGCCUGAUGCAGCAACGCCGCGUGCGGGAUGACGGCCUUCGGGUCGUAAACCGCUUUCGCCUGUGACGAAGCGUGAGUGACGGUAAUGGGUAAAGAAGCACCGGCUAACUACGUG
rnacentral:rRNA from 1 species